UACGUAGGUGGCAAGCGUUAUCCGGAAUUAUUGGGCGUAAAGAGCGCGCAGGUGGUUGAUUAAGUCUGAUGUGAAAGCCCACGGCUUAACCGUGGAGGGUCAUUGGAAAGUGGUCGACUUGAGUGCAGAAGAGGGAAGUGGAAUUCCAUGUGUAGCGGUGAAAUGCGUAGAGAUAUGGAGGAACACCAGUGGCGAAGGCGGCUUCCUGGUCUGUAACUGACACUGAGGCGCGAAAGCGUGGGGAGCAAACAGGAUUAGAUACCCCCGUA
rnacentral:rRNA from 1 species